UACGGGGGGGGCAAGCGUUGUUCGGAAUUACUGGGCGUAAAGGGCUCGUAGGUGGCCAACUAAGUCAGACGUGAAAUCCCUCGGCUUAACCGGGGAACUGCGUCUGAUACUGGAUGGCUUGAGUUUGGGAGAGGGAUGCGGAAUUCCAGGUGUAGCGGUGAAAUGCGUAGAUAUCUGGAGGAAUACCGGUGGCGAAGGCGGCGUCCUGGACCAGCACU
rnacentral:rRNA from 1 species